GCUACACCGGGCUCUGUGCCUUGGGUGGCGAUCGGUGCAGCCGUCACGACGCCGUCCGGACAACUUGCGACCCGCAAAAUCGCACCGCCUUUGCCAGUUCCCCUUGCCACACAUAGACACGCACCUGCACCCCAAGCCCAGCCACCCUGUCCCCGGAGAGGGGGAGGGAGGGAGUGGGGGGGGAGUGGAAGAGAGAGAGAGAGAGAAAUAAUUCCAAUCAAAUCACUCGCUUCCCGUUCAGAUCUCCGGGUGAGUGACCAAGAUCCCUGCAAAAUGUGGCUACGGUGGGAGGGGAGGGAGAAUGAGCGAACGAGAGCACCCUCCGUCUCCGAGCUUCCCUCCUUCUAUCAAAAAAAGAGAGAGGGAGAGAGGGAGAGAAGGAAAAACACCCCAAAGUGAACUUCAAAGCAAUGCGGCUGGGGAUGCAGGAACUGGCGGUGCAGACGACAAAAAAGCAGCACUAACCCUGACAGCUUUCAAUCUGAGUGUUUGUCAAGGGAAGGAUAUUAUCACUCUCCUUGACAGCUUCCAGUCUCAUAUUUUGACAAGGAAAGUUCCUCUACCUCAUCUGGAAAUCACCUGUAUUUGAAAGAAUUCUUUGAGAAACACGGUGGACACUGUUUAAAAAAUGAUCCUGGGACUUCCUGAAAUCAUCAUAGCUGAUCUCAUUCAAUGAGGGAUAAUACAUGGGAUUAAGUUGUGACACCAUCUUGACUUACAGACUUUUUGAGUUACAGACCUCUGGCCGCAAAAUUUAGGUUUGACUUGCAGACUGAGAUUUGACUUACAGACCAGAAAAAAACCAAAAUGGAACAAAAACGGCCAGUUACGGGAUUGAUCGGUUUUCAAUGCACUGUAGGUCAAUGGAGACUUGAUUUACAGACUUUUUGACUUGAGAACCGCCUUCCAAUACGGAUUAAGUUCUGAAGUCAAGACCCCACUGUAAUAGAUGAGAUUAAGUUGUGACAUCACGUCUGAAGGCAUGAUACCAGCAAACCAAAUCCAAUAUCCAGUUAUAUUUGACAACAUGAUGCCAGGGUGGGGAGCAAUUUAAACAAACAAGGAAACAUUUUUGCAACAAGUGAUAAUUUCUUCUGGUUUGAUUGAGCCUUCCAUGAGUGAAAAUAUAUUCUCAUUUCAAAAGUAAAAUAAUUAAGAGAAGCAUAUUUACCUUUUCAAAAACAAAAAGCCACCAACGUUAAUCUGUAUAAGUAGUUUCAGAAGCCAUGAGACAUUUUGUAAAGCAAAAAUUACUUCUGUGUCUGUUUGAGUUGUCACUAGUCUACAAAGAAUAUCAGGAUGUGUGUGUGUGUUUAGAUGUUAUCUUAUUCCAGAAAUGACUUACAAUUAAUAGAUGGUGUUUUAUGAUUCAUUAUUUCUGUAUACAGAGGAUGAUUUUUAAGAGUCUAAUAAAAAGAAGGGCUGUCAAAGAUUGAAAGGCUUU
rnacentral:lncRNA from 1 species